UACAGAGGUCUCAAGCGUUGUUCGGAUUCAUUGGGCGUAAAGGGUGCGUAGGCGGCGCGGUAAGUCGGGUGUGAAAUCUCGGAGCUUAACUCCGAAACUGCAUUCGAUACUGCCGUGCUUGAGGACUGGAGAGGAGACUGGAAUUUACGGUGUAGCGGUGAAAUGCGUAGAUAUCGUAAGGAAGACCAGUGGCGAAGGCGGGUCUCUGGACAGUUCCUGACGCUGGAGGCACGAAGGCCAGGGGGAGCAAACGGGG
rnacentral:rRNA from 1 species